GCCAGAUCUAAGUUUUUUCUUCUUCCGAACGGCGGCUGCAGUCUGCAACAAUCACUUCUCGCAUGUCUAAUGAUCGAUAAUCGAUUCUCAGAUACGUUAUAAAUUGAAUCAUUGAAAGAAUCAACAUGCCAAAAAAAAAAAGUAAGUGGAGUAGCUGUACCUCCAAGUUCAGAUAAGCCUCCAAAAGCUCCAGUUUUGAAGCGCAAGAGGAAUGAAGUUGUUGAAUCUGCUGUGGUGCCAGAAAUUGAAAUUACAGCUGGUGGUUCUAGUACUAUGGCUAUGGAUACGUCUCCACCAGUUCCGCAACAGCGUAAGAGAACUUCAUCGGUAUGGAAUGACUUUGAUAUGAUAUAUGAAAAUGGGGUUGUGGUUGCCGGAAAAUGCAAGCACUGUCCUGCAAAACUUAAAGCGGAAGUGAAAACAGGACUAGUAGUCUGACCAAACAUCUGAGAUGUUGUACUGAAUACAAAAAAACUCAAAGGAAAAUUAACCAGAUGCUCUUGAAGGUUUCUGAGGUAGGAGACGGUGCUGUAACUGCAUAUGACUUCAAGUUCAUUCCAGAAGUAACUCGUGACCUUAUUGCAAGGAUGAUUAUUUUGCAUGAACUUCCUUUUUCCAUGGUGGAGUAUGUUAUGUUCAGAAAGGUGCUGGCUUCAUUACAGCCCACCUUUAAACUUGUGAAGCGCACGACUGCUAAGUCAGAUUGUAUGAAGGUUUAUUAUCACUAAAAGAAGCUUUUGUAUGAGACUUUUAGUAAGGUGGAGAGCCGCAUAAGCCUUACUACUGAUAUGUGGACUUGUAAUAGUCAGAACAAAGGUUAUAUGGCUUUGACAGCCCAUUAUAUUGAUGACCAAUGGAGAGUUCAAAAAAGAAUAUUAUCCUUUAGCAUUGUUGAUGGGAAGCAUACUGGAGCCAACAUUGCUAAGGUGCUGUUAGAUAAGUUGUUAGAUUGGAAUAUAGAUCGGAAGAUUGGUUCAAUCACGUUGGAUAAAGCUUCAACCAACGAGGUAGUGGUAAGUGAACUUAUUGACAAACUAAAGCCAAAUAAUGGAUUGCUCUUGGAUGGGGAAUUGUUCCAAGUUCGGUGUUCUGCUCAUGUAAUAGCUAUUAUUGUUGAUUAUUGAAUGCUUCAAAUAAAAGAAGAAAUACAAAAAGUAAGGAACUCGGUGAAAUUCAUAAGGGCUUCCCCACAAAGGCAGCAGAAAUUUGAAGAAGUUUGUUUGCAAGUAAACGCUCCAAAUAAGAAGUUAAUUCAAGAUGUUGACACGAGGUGGAAUUCCACGUAUAUGAUGCUUGAAACAGCUCUUCUGUUCAGGGAAGCGUUUAGUCGGUAUGGGAAGUUUGAGCCUGAUUUCCUUAAAGUUGCUCCAGGGGAGGAAGAUUGGAACAAUGCAAGUAGUCUUUCGGUUUGCUUGAAGGUAUUCUAUGAACUCACCGUUCUCUUUUCAGGUUCAAAACACAUAACUGUUAAUCGGUACUUUGAUUAUGCUUGCUGUUUAUACGUAGAAAUCCAUGAGUGGUGCAAUUCUAGUGAUAAAUUGAUCUCCAAAAUGGCACUGAAUAUGAUGGAAAGGUUUGAGAAGUAUUGGGAGAUAACCUGGGUUGCACAGAUACUGGUACGGUAUCCGAUUCCUGUACGUAUCGAAGAAUCCGAUUCGGCAUCUCUGGAAAUGGCCGAUACGGAUACGUAUGGAUACCACAUACAUAAAUAUUUGCAAAUGCAAUCUUAUAGGACUCAAUAAUGUAUUAGAGCACACACAAAUUCAAUCGAAUCCCAUGAACAGGCAUUGUACACCUAUAUAUCACAACAUUUCAGUCUCACAUUGCUAGCAAACUUGAAGUUUUCUUUCUCAACCCUCAUUAUGAGGGAAGUAAACUCCAUCAUUUUCUUUUUAAGUGUUUCUCCUCUUGACAUGUACAAAGCACGUGAAAGCAACAGAGACCUUAAAAAAAACUGAAGAUAAAACCUUUACAAAAACUAAUAAAUUUUUGAUAAGCCUUUUGGGAAGUAUCCGAUACGGGUAUCGGAGAUUCCGAUUCGUAUACGUACAUGAUUCUCAAGUAUCGGCGCAACCCAGGAGAUAACAAGUCCAUCUUUUGCGAUAGCUUCUAUUUUGGAUCCUCGAUUCAAGAUGAAAUCAGUAAGUUACUACUUCCCAAAACUUUAUGCUGAUCAAAGUGAAAUUGAGGAGUUAAAAAUUAAGGAUCAAUUUAAAAGAUUGUAUGAUGAAUAUGCAACUCGCUAUGCUUCUUCAAAUCAUGUAUAUUCAGGAAGCAUUCCCACAAGUGAUGUUAACAUUGCAAAGUCAGUUUCAGCUAGUGGUAUUUCCUUUUCUUCUCAAAGUUCUUUUGCUGCUAAGCGAAAUAGUUUCACAGCAUAUCUUGAAGAAAGUUCCCAAAAUGCAGUUGUUCUAACAGAUCUAGAGCAAUACUUAAAGGAUGAUGCUCUCCCUAUGAGCCAAGGAAGUGGUAAUUCGAGUGAUGACAGUUUUGAUGUUUUGGGAUGGUGGAAAGCUUAUGAACGAAGGUAUCCAAUUUGUUGCAUUGAUGGCGCGUGAUAUAUUAGCAAUUCCUGCAUCCUCCGUGGCUUCUGAAUCUGUGUUCAGUACCAGUGGUAGAGUCGUAGAUAAAUUUCGUUCUUCAAUGCAUCCAGAGACAAUUGAAGCUUUGAUAUGUGGACAGGAUUGGAUAAGGAGUGCGCUGGAGAAUGAAGGGCUUGCUUCAGAUAAUCCCGCCCUUAAGACCAUUUUAGAUGCGAUUUGUGAGCUACCGGAAGACGAAGUCGAUGAAACUAAUGGUGAUGGAAAUAUUGAGCAGCGUCAAAUACUGUCCGACUAAGUUUAUUAUUGCAAAGACAAGAUGAAGUUUCUUUUUGACAUGGCCAAAGAACACAAAGUUGCGAUCUCCUCUUCUGUUGUUAAUACUUGUAAGCAGACCCGCAGAGUCGGACAGGCAGUUCUUUCAUUUGGCAACAAUAUAGAUUUGUAAAUCUGCCAAACUUUUUUUUGGAAACAUUAUCAAAGUUCAAGUCUGCCAAUCUUUUGUGGUUUAUAUAGCGGCAGCUGAACUUUACAUAUGUAUUAGCAGUGGAAUAGUUGGACUCAUUAGUUGUUGACAUUAUGCAUAGAAUGUUUCGGUAGGA